GGUCGUGGCUCAGUGGUAGAGCGCUUGCCUAGUACGUGCAGGGCCUUGGGUUCCAUCCUCAGCACCA
rnacentral:tRNA from 1 species